rnacentral:misc_RNA from 1 species
GAUGAAGAACGUAGCGAAAUGCGAUACGUAAUGUGAAUUGCAGAAUUCAGUGAAUCAUCGAGUCUUUGAACGCAAAUUGCGCCCCCUGGUAUUCCGGGGGGCAUGCCUGUCCGAGCGUCAUUGCUGCCCUCAAGCACGGCUUGUGUGUUGGGCCUCCGUCCUCCUCCCGGGGGACGGGCCCGAAAGGCAGCGGCGGCACCGCGUCCGGUCCUCGAGCGUAUGGGGCUUCGUCACCCGCUCUUGUAGGCCCGGCCGGCGCUUGCCGACACAUCAAUCUUUUUUCCAGGUUGACCUCGGAUCAGGUAGGGAUACCCGCUGAACUUAAGCAUAUCAAUAAGCGGAGGA